rnacentral:rRNA from 1 species
AUUGAACGCUGGCGGCAUGCCUUACACAUGCAAGUCGAACGGCAGCACGGGAGCAAUCCUGGUGGCGAGUGGCGAACGGGUGAGUAAUAUAUCGGAACGUGCCCAGUCGUGGGGAUAACGUAGCGAAAGCUACGCUAAUACCGCAUACGAUCUAUGGAUGAAAGCGGGGGAUCGCAAGACCUCGCGCGAUUGGAGCGGCCGAUAUCAGAUUAGGUAGUUGGUGGGGUAAAGGCUCACCAAGCCAACGAUCUGUAGCUGGUCUGAGAGGACGACCAACCACACUGGAACUGAGACACGGUCCAGACUCCUACGGGAGGCAGCAGUGGGGAAUAUUGGACAAUGGGCGAAAGCCUGAUCCAGCAAUGCCGCGUGAGUGAUGAAGGCCUUAGGGUUGUAAAGCUCUUUUACUGGGGAUGAUAAUGACAGUA